rnacentral:rRNA from 1 species
GAUGAACGCUGGCGGCGUGCCUAAUACAUGCAAGUCGAGCGAACGGACGAGAAGCUUGCUUCUCUGAUGUUAGCGGCGGACGGGUGAGUAACACGUGGAUAACCUACCUAUAAGACUGGGAUAACUUCGGGAAACCGGAGCUAAUACCGGAUAAUAUUUUGAACCGCAUGGUUCAAAAGUGAAAGACGGUCUUGCUGUCACUUAUAGAUGGAUCCGCGCUGCAUUAGCUAGUUGGUAAGGUAACGGCUUACCAAGGCAACGAUGCAUAGCCGACCUGAGAGGGUGAUCGGCCACACUGGAACUGAGACACGGUCCAGACUCCUACGGGAGGCAGCAGUAGGGAAUCUUCCGCAAUGGGCGAAAGCCUGACGGAGCAACGCCGCGUGAGUGAUGAAGGUCUUCGGAUCGUAAAACUCUGUUAUUAGGGAAGAACAUAUGUGUAAGUAACUGUGCACAUCUUGA